AUGAACGCUAGCGACAGGCCUAACACAUGCAAGUCGAGGGGCAGCGGGGAGGUAGCAAUACCUUUGCCGGCGACCGGCGCACGGGUGAGUAACACGUAUGCAAUCCACCUGUAACAGGGGGAUAACCCGGAGAAAUCCGGACUAAUACCCCAUAAUAUGGGCGCUCCGCAUGGAGGGUCCAUUAAAGAGAGCAAUCUUGGUUACAGACGAGCAUGCGCUCCAUUAGCCAGUUGGCGGGGUAACGGCCCACCAAGGCGACGAUGGAUAGGGGUUCUGAGAGGAAGGUCCCCCACAUUGGAACUGAGACACGGUCCAAACUCCUACGGGAGGCAGCAGUGAGGAAUAUUGGUCAAUGGUCGGCAGACUGAACCAGCCAAGUCGCGUGAGGGAAGACGGCCCUACGGGUUGUAAACCUCUUUUGUCGGAGAGUAAAGUGCGCUACGUGUAGCGUAUUGCAAGUAUCCGAAGAAAAAGCAUCGGCUAACUCCGUGCCAGCAGCCGCGGUAAUACGGAGGAUGCGAGCGUUAUCCGGAUUUAUUGGGUUUAAAGGGUGCGUAGGCGGCACGCCAAGUCAGCGGUGAAAUUUCCGGGCUCAACCCGGACUGUGCCGUUGAAACUGGCGAGCUAGAGUGCACAAGAGGCAGGCGGAAUGCGUGGUGUAGCGGUGAAAUGCAUAGAUAUCACGCAGAACCCCGAUUGCGAAGGCAGCCUGCUAGGGUGCGACAGACGCUGAGGCACGAAAGCGUGGGUAUCGAACAGGAUUAGAUACCCUGGUAGUCCACGCUGUAAACGAUGGAUACUAGGUGUGCGGGGACUGACCCCCUGCGUGCCGCAGUUAACACAAUAAGUAUCCCACCUGGGGAGUACGAUCGCAAGGUUGAAACUCAAAGGAAUUGACGGGGGCCCGCACAAGCGGAGGAACAUGUGGUUUAAUUCGAUGAUACGCGAGGAACCUUACCCGGGCUCAAACGCAGGGGGAAUAUAUAUGAAAGUAUAUAGCUAGCAAUAGUCACCUGCGAGGUGCUGCAUGGUUGUCGUCAGCUCGUGCCGUGAGGUGUCGGCUUAAGUGCCAUAACGAGCGCAACCCCUAUGGACAGUUACUAACGGGUGAAGCCGAGGACUCUGUCUAGACUGCCGGCGCAAGCCGCGAGGAAGGUGGGGAUGACGUCAAAUCAGCACGGCCCUUACGUCCGGGGCGACACACGUGUUACAAUGGCAGGUACAGAAGGCAGCCAGUCAGCAAUGACGCGCGAAUCCCGAAAACCUGUCUCAGUUCGGAUUGGAGUCUGCAACCCGACUCCAUGAAGCUGGAUUCGCUAGUAAUCGCGCAUCAGCCAUGGCGCGGUGAAUACGUUCCCGGGCCUUGUACACACCGCCCGUCAAGCCAUGGAAGCCGGGAGUACCUGAAGCAUGCAACCGCAAGGAGCGUACGAAGGUAAUACCGGUAACUGGGGCU
rnacentral:rRNA from 1 species